GAGGCUGUCACUGGCUCGGCCAGCAUUUAUUGCUGCGUUUACCCAGAGGGCAGUUAAGAAUCAACCACGUUGCUAUAGGUCUGGAGUCCCAUGCAGACCAGACCAGAUCCCAGUGAUCAGUGCCAAAGCCCCAUUGCCUGUGGAGAGGGUGAUGUUUGAUUUCCCUGUCCAGCUGCAGUUCAUGUGGUGAAGGUGCUCCCACAAUGUGGUUGGGUGGACAUUCAGAUGGUAAUCUCAGUAAUUGUAACGCCAAACUGUGACAAAAUUACUCAAUUCAUCAGGAGCUGGAUAUUCACAUUGUGUAUGGAUGUUCUUAAACAUGAUAGGAAGGAGAACAGAAUUCGAUGGAAUAUUGCAAAAGUUGCCGAAUCAAUGUCCAGUACAGCCGCAAUAUGACCUCCCAACCCCUAUACUCAAUGCUCUGACCAAUAAA